rnacentral:rRNA from 1 species
CUCGUAGGCGGUUCCGUAAGUCAGGUGUGAAAAAUCUGGGCUCAACCCAGUGGAGCACCUGAUACUGCGGUGACUCGAGUCCGGUAGGGGAGUGUGGAAUUCCUGGUGUAGCGGUGAAAUGCGCAGAUAUCAGGAGGAACACCGACGGCGAAGGCAGCACUCUGGGCCGGUACUGACGCUGAGGAGCGAAAGCAUGGGGAGCGAACA